rnacentral:rRNA from 1 species
AUGCAUAUAUUUUGGGCAGAUGGCAAUGGAAUAAGGAACUAUCAGCAGUAUGGCGAUCUUCUCAGUUUUGACACAACCUACAAGACCAACAAAUAUAAUCUGAAAUUUGCUCCAUUUGUGGGAGUAAAUGGGCAUGGAGACAACUGCCCUUUUGCAUGUGGUUUCAUUCAAGAUGAGAAGAAAGAAACAUUCGAGUGGCUCUUUAAGACAUUUCUAAAAUGCAUGGGAGGGAAAGCUCCUAAAUCUGUCAUAACGGAUCAAGACACAGCUAUGAAGAAAGCAGUACCUAAAUGCUUUCCAAAUUGCAAGCAUAGGAACUAUUUGUUCCACAUUCUCAAGAAAGCUCAAAACAAAGCUAGGAGGACAUUUGGAAAGAACCAACACUUGAAUGCUCAAUUUCAUGACAUAAUCCUAGACUCCCAGACAGUGCAAGAAUUUGAGGAAUUAUGGCCACAAAUUAUUCAAUAG